UCCCCGGUAGCUCAGUUGGUAGAGCAAGCGGCUGUUAACCGCUGUGUCGCUGGUUCGAGUCCGGCCCGGGGAGCCA
rnacentral:tRNA from 1 species